CAACAGCCAAGCUCUCCCUCACUUAUUUCACCAAAAUAUUUUCGCAAGGCCCCUUCACCAAAUUUCUCAACCUGCAGCAAGCUUCUUUCUACAGCAAUAAUAAUCUAAGUUCUUUUCCUUCUUGAUUGAGCAGUAACAACUCCCUAGCAAAGCAAAGAGCUUCAAAGGCUUUGUGACCAGGGGGAUUAGCGCUGCUUUUCCAAGACAGGUUUAUAUGUGAUUAUGAUCUUCAGGCUUUGCCUAUCCAGGUUGGCUGGCCGGUGCUGACGGGACGGAGCUGAGGCUAGCGAUAAAUUCCUAUGUUAGACUUCCGCUGUAGCAAUUACUCAUAUCAGUCUUUUGUUUUCCCAACUUAAGAUCUUCAUGUUAGAUUUCAAAUGAUAUACCUGACCGAGCUUAGACUCUUCACUACUUAAUUUAUGCAAAUGAAUGUCGGUUGUCAGAAGCAUGAAACAAAACUUGUGAUCCAAAGGGGCAUAGCCCGACUUUCUAUCCUAUUUCGGGUUUUUACAAGGUUGUUCCUUGUUUAUUUCUAUGAAUUAGUUGCACCUCGAUUAUAUUUAUUCAUUCAAGAAUUGGGGUGUGACAGAAGUUCUUUCAUGGACGGAGGGAG